rnacentral:rRNA from 1 species
AGAAUCAACGCUGGCGGCGUGCCUAACACAUGCAAGUCGCACGAGAAAGGGGCUUCGGCUCUGAGUAAAGUGGCGCACGGGUGAGUAACACGUGAAUAAUCUACCUCCGAGUGGGGAAUAACUGAGAGAAAUCUUAGCUAAUACCGCAUAACACUUACGAGUCAAAGCAGCAAUGCGCUUGGAGAGGGGUUCGCGGCCGAUUAGUUAGUUGGCGGGGUAAUGGCCCACCAAGACGAUGAUCGGUA